UAACUUUGGGGAAGGUUGCGUUUUGGGUUGCCUUCCUUCUGUCUCAAGAGCCUUCAGUGAGAACACAACUGUGUCAAAGUUUCAUUUUAUCUGCCUUGUCAAGGAACACUUUCUAAAACUAGGGAUACUCUAUUUCUAGAUGACUAGCACCUACAGCUCAAAGACUAGAAUUGAGUAGUUUCUCUACUCUAACUCUUUACUCCAACUCUCUACUAGUCUUGGCACAGCAGUAGGUAGCAGACGCCCUCCUGGAAAUGGGUCAUAUGCUUCCAGAAAUUUCUCCAGUUAGCAUAGAUGCAUAAUCUUUUCAAGUGAUGCAUACCAAGCUAGUUGUUGUCUUUAGGUGUAAAAUGUGUACUGAAUGGUUUGGGAUUUGAGGAUUUGUCUAAAUGAAGUGCAAAGGAGGGCUUAGUAAAAUUUAGAAGGAUAGACUAGUAUGUCCUAGUAUGUAUCUUUUGAUGCAUCUGGUUUUGACACCUUUCUUGAAUGUUUAACAUCAGAGCAUCAAAGCAUCUUGUAGCACCACUAUGCAAGCAAGGUAGCCUAGUUUUUCCAUUAUGCAGAUGACACAGCUGGGACACAGGGAGAGCAAAUUACUGGCCCAAAGCCUCACAGAAAGACUGGAAAAAAAUAAGGAAUUGAUCAGCACUCCCUGUGGAAAGUCAGCACAGUACUUGCUGCAAAAUCCUUUAUGUGUAGGGGUUUUAACUGACCAGGCAAUUGCUUAUUUAUCUGUUGUAUUCCAGGGCUUCUUGUUGUAUCCUUACUUUCCUGUUUCUGGUAAAUAAAUUUUUCAAACAACAUCUCUCUGUUCAACUUGAUUAACACAUUUGUUCCCAACCAAAGAGGUUGUUUUUAGGAGGUCUGUGCCAUACAGGAGCAUUUUAGCAUGGUGACAUGCUCCUUCGUGAUGCUUGCUUGCUGGAGAAAAUAUUUUUAAAUUUGUGGAAAAGCCUUGUCCACUGACAGCACCCAAGGGUGAGUAACAAUUAUUUCUGGUGAAAACCAGUUCUCUACCUAGUAUGACAAUAGCUGACUGCAUUUUCAGGUGUUCCUAGAUACGUUCACCCACUAUGUGCAAGUAAACAUGGUUCAUCAUGUUUUCCACAUGGAGGAAGUGGUUUGAAAAAAAAAAAAAAAGAGCAAACCCUAUUACUCAUCCUUACAGUUUCUAGAGAUUUGGGCUGGACCAGUGGGAAAGGCACAGUUCAUUUUAUCAGCUGGAAAGCAGUCUUUACUGAUUCAAAGUCAGGAGAUCCUGUUUAAGCGAAAGUCGUGAACAGAUAAUGUGGGGCUGAAAGACUGUGACCUGAAAAGACUAAGUAAAUAAGCUUCCAUUAUGUUCAUAUGUGACAGAUCCAUAACUAUAUGAUGUAACAGAAAGAUUAUAUUAGCCUUGAUUAUGAAUCACAAAAAAAAAAUUACAAAUAAUUCCUGUCAGUCUGCAGAGUACUUCUAAAGAACAAAUUUAAUUCCCAGAGUAAUGUUUGUGAUGUAUGUGAGGCUGUAUUAGGUACAGUAAGUAAAGCAAGGUUAACCUGAUCCCCAUGAAACAAACAUUAAAAAUAAGCCCAGAGUAACAGGUCCUUUUUCCACUUCACUUAUUCAUUAAUCAGUUCCAAUAUUUCUUCCUGAAUUUUCAGGGGCAUUCAGAGCUGAAAUGAUUAGUAAACCAAAUCCUAAGGUAACAUGGAAAGGAGAGGGAAACUUUCCUAAAAAACAUGGAAAGUACCAGUAGAGGGACCCAGAGUGUUGUUCACAAUAUCACUAAGGAAUAUUGGUAACACUUUUUGCUUUAUUUUUUUAUUUCCACAAUAAAACUUUAAAUAAGAAAAAGUUAAUCACUAUAAUAUUUAUCAGUAGCUAAGAAAAUGUCCCGGGUUGCAGUAGUCCUACUGCAGCACUGCUACUUGCCAAUACUGUUGAAUGUUUGUAGGGCAUUGUUUCCAAUCAGCAGCAAACAACACUAGAGCAAGAACUGCUAUUUUUGUUACUUGGUUAUGCAUUUAUUGCAGUGGGGCACUAAUGCCCCUUGUGUGCCUUUCAGGCAAAAAUAAAAAAAUAAACAGUGCUAAACCUCAAUAAUUUCUAAUAUUAUUCAGGACUUUCUAAUGUGACUCUGGAGGCUUGCCAGCGCGAUUCCCAUCUACAAGAAGAGUCUAAGGAAGAUCUGGGAAACUACAGACCCAUCAGCCUGACAUCAAUGCCAGGAAAGGCGAUGGAACAGAUCAUCUUGAGUGAGAUCACUGGUAUUUGCUGGACGAUGGGGAAUCAGGCCCAGCUAGCAUGGGUGCAUGAAAGGAAGAACCUGCUUGACCCGCCUGAUCUCCUUUUAUGUAUUGUUAGCACUUUGGCAAACUCCCAGCAGAUGGGCUGGCAGACAAGGUGGUGGGAAGGAUUUCUGUAAUCUGUUUUCCCAGCAAUGACCAUCUGAUGGGGGAGCAUUGAGAUCUCUAUCUGUGUUCUCUGAUGCUAUGAAAACUUGUUUGGAACUGCAUGAAUCCCUCUUCCAAGAGAGGUCUAGAUAUCUUGAAUGUUAUAACAUGACAGUUGCUUAUUUACUUGGAAAAGAAGCAUGAAUUUCUUGUGAAGUGCUAUGUGCAGGGGACCUCCAGCUCUGAGGAAGAACGUAAAGAAGUUGGUGGUUGAGGAGAACGAAACAUUGGAGAUCAUCCCUAAGAAUCUGGAGAAUUUAGAGAAGGCCAGUGUGAACUUCUCUCAUUUCUCAGGAAAUUGAAAGAGGUGAAAGAAGAAGUGGAGGUUGAAGUUAGUGUCAUAGUACCUCAAGACCCUUGACAGAGUCCAAAAAAAAAAAAAAAAAAAAAAAAGUGCAUGCAUCCAAAAAGACAACUGUGAUGGAAGAUAGUUACUCAUCCCAGAUGGAAUAAGUAUCUACAUUUUUUUGCAGCUGGACAAAACUGGAUAUUCAAAGAAAUGUGAAGAAAUUGUGUCAAAUCUUGACAAGGUUAACCUGUAACCUGAUAGAAACAAAACCACUGAAAAUGACCACAAAACAUUGCUAGCUGCGAUGUUUGAAAUGGGCCUGCUAAGGAAAAUGCCAAACUUCAUGUGGAAGUUCAAUGGGCAAGUGUGGAAGCAGGACAAUAAGUAUGAGGUCAUUGCAUCUGAUGAUUGUAUUGGCCCACACUUAGGAUAUCCUGUCCUGUGGACUUCAGAACUCAAUGCUGAAACUGGAGAUACAGAGCAGAAAGCUCCAUUCUUCACUGAUCACAGAGAUUCCAGUUCAAUUCAUCAGCAAACCUGAGAAUACCCAAAGGAAGAAUGGAAAAUCCUGCCUGGAGUAUGUGCUGAUUUUGGAAGAUGUCACUCUGAAAGAGAUGAGGAAUUGAUGGAUGAUUGAAAGAUUUCAAGUGCACUAGGAAUCAUGAAGGGAAGAGAGCAGAGCUUAUCAUAAUGUUGAUGAGCCAGUGACUCAGGAACUUGUAUAGGCAUUGCUGUGUGAGACAGUGAACCUAACGACUGCUACAGCAGCUCCAUUGUAACUGGGAAAUCUCUUGAACAGGUGUCUCAGCCUUAAGGACUAAAUGUCAGGAAAGAAGCUGUCACCAUCACCAGAAACUCCUCAGUCCAUAUUGGAGGUUCCCCAGAGCUAGGCUAUGUCACAGAAAGAAGGAAAAAGAAGGUACCUGAAGCAAAUGAUACAAUGCAUGUUCAGCCAUGCAGAGCCUGGAUUUCCCAGCACAGCUUUAAUCACUUGUUGCAAAGGAUCCCAUCAGUGUCUAUCUUCAACUAUUUAAUGUCCAGUUUUCCUGAACAUGUGUGCUAUGACAAGAUCUAUGCAUUUAUGACCGAAUUCUGAAGCAGUGUGGCAAACUUCAUCCUGACUCAGAAGCCUGCAGAAGUCCUGACAGUCCUCCAUCUGGUGGACUUUUCCAGCUCCAGCAUUUUCUCAGCCUGGCAGGAACCAAACAAGGAAGCUGUGCCAUCAGGAUACAUACUAGAGGAUAUAAGCAGAGAACACCAAGGAUGGACCCUUGACAGAAAGACAGUACUGAUCCCUGUCUUUAGUACCACUUAACACUGCAGGAGGCUUGCAGGACAGACAUAUCCUUCCAAGCUGCGAGUGAAGCCGGUGUGGGAAAAGCAAUGGAGUUACAGGUUUGACCUGACUGUGAGGCUGAAGAGCCACAUGGUGGUUUGUGCUGGAACAGCACAGUGCAUUCAUACAUCUUUGUCCAUACAAACUAGCUUGCUCCUUAGAGAAAUUUUCAUUACUGUAAUGAUCUGCUGGGGGUGAGAAGUUUAGAGAUCUUUGCAUUGUAUUUUAUACAUUGCCUCUUCAGAGUGCUUUUUAAAACUAGCAACCAUAUUUUUUCAUCAGGAAGGAAUUAUAUACGGCAAGCUGCUAUCAGGUUCCUCAAGCCAGAAGAAAUCAAGGAGAAAGUGCUUUAAUUAAACACAGAAAGACUCUGGAAGGGAGGAGCUGAAGUGAAAUAAUUUUGCCCCAGAAAAGAACACAGGGAUGGUUCCAAACAGGAGAAAUCAAUACUUAAUCUGCAAAAUAAUUCUUAGAUUUCCUCUGAUCAAUCACUAAUCUCAGCUGGCUUGAGAAAGUCCCAAGAAACUGUGAUACUAAAAUAGAAUUACAGCCAGGAUGAAGAAGAGAACUAGCAGACACAUUAUGAUAUCCUGAAAAAUGAUAUCAGUACUGCCACACAGUUCACACAGCCACAGAAAAGUCUACAGCAAUAAGUACACCAUCACAGGCCUGCUCCCAGGAAGGAAAUACUUUUUCUGAGUCAUUGCCCACAGUAACACUGGGGACAUUGACCCUCUGGAUUCAAAGAAGCUGUGGUACAUCUCCAAAGACAAAGGCUCAUGCCUGGAUCUUGCUAUUACCAUGUGACUUCAAAACCCACCACAUCAAACCUCCAAGGAAAUGCUUUGACUCAAGGGUCUGUUGCGUAAGUACAGACAGAAAAAUGCAGCAGGAGCACUGGGCUACUCACAGCAAAGCCACAGCAGAGAUGGGAUAGAGAGCUAUACAGUCUGCAGGCUGGGCCUGCUCUUACCAUACACUCGUCUGGGACCAUUCAGAACAGCUAUAAGAUAAAUAUUGUGUUCAGAGUCCCUCCUGUGGCACUUCUGCAUUUCAGUGCAGAUGUGGACAACCUCAGAGAUGGUAGCACUCUGGCAGGAUCCCCACCUCUGUCCUGCCAGCCAUGAAGGAUCUCCACUACACCAUAACGAGCCUGAGACCUUCAGGAUGGACAACUAACUGCUUCCAAAGAUAGAAACUAUUUGCAGCAUCCACAGUGCUGCAGGUCCCUGUAGCAGUCUCAGCUAAGGUAAGUAAUAUCUUUUAUCUGUGAAGACAGAAGUCUGUGCUGAAAAAUGUCGUUCAAGUUCAGCCUUGUUUGCAAAUCACAGCAGCACCUUAGAAGCAUACAGGAGAAUAUUUGGGUUAAUAAACGCAGGAAGUUUCAUUUAAUACCCCAUCUUAAAAUAAAAACACCUGCAGUUUGAGCAGUUACCAUUACAAUCACAGCUUACCCUCCCCUGUGUGCACACAUGAUGAGACAGGUUUUAAUUACAUUUGUCGUUUUCCCCAGGAACCUUGCCUUACUGAAUGUGAGAUCUGCAGUUGUGCAGAAAGGCUAUGUUUGCUUCGUAACCUUGAAAUUAUCUUUUUCUACUAUCUGAAUUUGAAUUUUCCAAGCCCAAACAUUAGCAUUAUUUUAAAAUAAGUGUUUGCAUUAUUUCCACCCUAGGAACAACUGAGUAAUUCUUCAGGCAUAAGAGGUGAGAUUCCAGUCUCAGUUUCUCGCCCAUAACUCUGGAAUUUAGGAGUUAGAGUCCUCACAUAAGAAAAACCUCAUAGACCUAGAAGGCAUCUCAUCAUUAACUCUUUAUUCCCUUGCACCUUUUCUACAAAUAUACUUCAAAUGAGUUAUUUCAGAACAUGCCCUUGCCUAUCACUCUGUGCUCAGCUGAGCUCCUGUGCUGGCUCUGACCAAAAGGAGUGCUCCAUGAGGGACACUUCACAGAGACAGAGGUUCCCAUGGAGCUGAGAUCCAGGCACCCAUCCUGCUGGGAUGGUGUGGCAUCAGAUAUGUUUGGGAGAAACAUUGCAAGAAAGGCUAAAGCAACAGAAGGAUGAGGCUGGGGGAUUUCCCUCUGUUUGGACAGGUGGCUAGGACCUAGGUAGAGAAGGUGGGACAACUUGCCAUCCAGAGGACAAGUCAUGGCUGGUAUUGGGACACGGUGUACCAACAUGAGCGGAGGCUGUGGCUUGAGGAAAGCCAAACAUAUAAUCCAUGACUGAACUUGCCUGUACCUUAGGGAAGGAAGUAUUGCUUGGCUGAAUGGGUAAAUUGCAGCAAACCAACCAUCUCCUUUGCACUUGUGUCUCAAAGACAGAACUUGAGAUGUGGCUGUGCCAUAGCAUUGGAAAAUGAAGGAUUUGCUGCAGGUGACAAGAUCUUUGCUAAUGUAUGACUUUUUUAUGGCUUUAA